AUUCUCAUUUNUUGCUGCGAGGAACCUCCAUGCCACCAAUACUCGUCUUCAGAAGACUGGCACUGCCGAGAUGUCCUCUAUUCUUGAAGAGCGCAUUCUUGGAGCUGAUACCUCUGUUGACCUUGAAGAGACUGGGCGCGUCUUAAGUAUUGGUGACGGUAUUGCCCGCGUACAUGGGCUGAGGAAUGUUCAA